GAACUUGACUAGACGCGAAACGCGAUUUUAAACGGAAACACCGGACGAAGCCGAACCGAAGCGAAUAGUGGUUUCAAUCGAACGUGAUUUACGACGAAUAUUUAUCACGGGAGUGAACGACGAAUUCGACACGACCACGACGCGUGCAGUUCCUUCAGGAAAACUUGGGGAUCUAUUUUCGCCGUUGAAAGGCGCGCGGGAACGCGUUCGCGGCGGGUUUCUCGAACCGCGGUGCUUUAGUACGGCCAGUCUCUCCGCUUCGUGCAGAACUUCGUCGAUCCCGGAAUAGUUUCGUCGGUUGCUCGUUGAAGUUUUUCGCGCGGCCGUUGCACGGGCCAAUUUGCAGUCGUUUCGAGCGUGUUCGUUCACGAAUCCCACGUCGCUUGGCGUACAUAACCCUCCCCCGCGACACCAGCGUGUGAGUCGAGCGACGAUCGAAGUAUCGAUAACAGGUUUCAAAUUUCUCUCGAACGGUUCGUUCGUUGACACGAUCGUUCAACCUGGAAGCUGAUACGGAGAACGCGGGGAUGGAUGCCACGGACGUCCUCAGUCCUGACGCCCCGUCGGCGAACGAUGAGGAUGUUUUGAACAACGACAACGAUAAUGGCAACAACAACGAGGACGAGCAGGCGCCCACCGUCGAGGAGAGUUACGAGGUCACCACUACGAAGCGAAAGACCGUUCGGACCAGCUACAAGAUCCAAGAAACUUCUUCUUCGACCAAAACAACCACUAUGACAACUGCUGCAAAGCUAUAUGGCAAGGAUUUGAGUGAAUACGAUGAUGUGGAUGUGGAUGAAUUAUUGGCACAACUUACCCCAGAAGAAAUUAAUAUAUUAGCUAAAGAAGUGGAUCCUGAUGACAGUUUCAUGCCACCAUCACAACGUUGUAGCUAUGAAUGUGACAAGAGUCCUACAGGACCACUGAAUCGUAAGAAGCUUAUUGAACACAUCAAUAAACAAGCUUUGGAAACACCAGACAAACCUGAAUUAAAGCCUUAUGUACCUGGUGUCAUACGAGGCAAAAAGUGGGUUCCACCUCCUCAAGAAACUGCAAAAGAAAAAGAAGCAGAAGAGCAGAUUGCCAUUGAUCUUGGAGAAGAAUAUGAGCAAGCUUUAUCUAAUGCUACUCAAGAAGAAAUUAUUGAUCUUGCUGCUAUCCUUGGAUUUCAUUCUAUGAUGAAUCAAGAUCAAUACCAUGCUUCUCUGUUAAAUUCUGGCCAACCCGUUGGUUUGGGUUGGGAUGGUGUAACGAAAGCUAGUCAACCAAAACCUUACCCAAUGGAACCACCUAAUGAUACAGAUGUUGAUGCCACUAUCAAACAAGUUCGAGAGGACGAUGUUUCGCUAAUUGAUUUAAAUUGGAACAAUAUUAAAAAUAUAUCUGACGAGAAGUUUAUUCAACUAUUCGAAGGACUUGAGAUAAAUACACAUCUUGAAUCCUUAAGUUUAACAAAUGUGGGACUCACUGAUAAGACUGCACAAAGGUUGGCAGAGGCCUUAGAGAAAAAUUCUACGCUCAGAGUACUCAAUGUGGAAACAAACUUUAUAAGCCCAUCUGUGAUAGUGAGGCUCAUCAGAGCACUCCUUAAAACGAAGUCAAUGGAAGAAUUUCGAUGUUCGAAUCAGAGGUCACAGGUAUUGGGAAAUAAAAUUGAAAUGGAAAUUACACAAUUGGUAGAGCAAAAUCCGACAUUGCUCCGACUUGGUCUUCAUUUGGAGUUCAACGAUGCUAGACAUCGUGUGGCUGCACAUUUACAACGCAACAUUGACAGGAUACGGAAAGACCUAACGCUGCGGCUACAGUUCCGAUUCUUUAACAUGAACCACAGGAAAUCUGCCUUGAUUCAAUGAAAGUACGGCAGUCCCGGCUCGGGGUGGCGACAUCUUAACGCGAAGUGGCGUUCGCCUAGAUCGUCUACACCGCACGGG
rnacentral:misc_RNA from 1 species